GCCGCUGUGCUGUCCCUAGGAAAGUGAAAGUACUAGGACAAUGACCCUUGCGCAGUGUGUCGGUGGUCACAUGGUCUGUCGCGGGUGCGGGACCAUGGCCCACGGCUCGAUGCUUGCCCUGUGCCCACCACUAAAAUGUUGGAGGCCACGUGACUGAGCCGCACCGCCUGGAGUCCGAGCUAGAGGAGUUGCCGCAGUGGAAGGACCAAAAUAUCAGACAGAAAAUGCGAUGUCCAAUGGUUCUACUGUAGUUAAACGUGUACAACAUUUUCCACAAUCUGCUCUCGACGGCGAUGAAAGGCCGCCCGAUAAUGGUACAGAUGCUGACAGCAACCAAGGAUUGAUUGCAUAAUGGGUCAUAUUGACACGUGAGCCAGGUCUGGCCAUGCAGCACAAGGCAUAUGUGGUAAUAGUAAAGUACGUGUUAUCAAAAUUGU